AGAGUUUGAUCCUGGCUCAGAUUGAACGCUGGCGGCAUGCCUUACACAUGCAAGUCGAACGGUAACAGGUCUUCGGAUGCUGACGAGUGGCGAACGGGUGAGUAAUACAUCGGAACGUGCCCGAGAGUGGGGGAUAACGAAGCGAAAGCUUUGCUAAUACCGCAUACGAUCUCAGGAUGAAAGCAGGGGACCGCAAGGCCUUGCGCUCACGGAGCGGCCGAUGGCAGAUUAGGUAGUUGGUGGGAUAAAAGCUUACCAAGCCGACGAUCUGUAGCUGGUCUGAGAGGACGACCAGCCACACUGGGACUGAGACACGGCCCAGACUCCUACGGGAGGCAGCAGUGGGGAAUUUUGGACAAUGGGCGCAAGCCUGAUCCAGCCAUGCCGCGUGCAGGAUGAAGGCCUUCGGGUUGUAAACUGCUUUUGUACGGAACGAAAAGACUCUGGUUAAUACCUGGGGUCCAUGACGGUACCGUAAGAAUAAGCACCGGCUAACUACGUGCCAGCAGCCGCGGUAAUACGUAGGGUGCGAGCGUUAAUCGGAAUUACUGGGCGUAAAGCGUGCGCAGCGGUUAUAUAAGACAGAUGUGAAAUCCCCGGGCUCAACCUGGGAACUGCAUUU
rnacentral:rRNA from 1 species